UUAACUCCACCUGCAAAGGUUUCACAACCACUCAAACACAUGUUGCCUGGUAGCUCACCCAGCGGGUCUGAGGAUGUUGACCUAUGUUUGCUGGUCCCUGACACCUCUUUGCUGCCUUCAGAAGUGGUUUUUAACUCUUCAGAGGCCAGAGGGUCUUCUGUUGUCAUCCCUGUGGAAGCUCAGCCAAUUCCAGAUACACCUUUGGUACCAGAAAGUUCUGGUCCACCAACCCACUCCUCUUUUUCAGCAGGCCAACCCAGUUCCAGUCAGAUGGUCUUGCGACGAACUGAACGCUCUACAGCUGGUCAACAUUCAAAUGUCCACCGCCUUCCUCGGGCAGCCGGUGUGGCGGACAAUGGAGCAGUUGAAACUCCAGCGCCGGCCUCUAAUGCUCAAUUUGCCAUUUUUAGACCUUGGUACUAACCCUCCAGGUCUCUUGUGUCAUCGUCGGGGCGACGACGCAAAAAGGGGGGGUAGAAUGUGGCAAGUUGAAGUGACCCGCAUUCUUCACGGGUGCACUCAAUUACCUGACAGAAUCAGUUGUCACGUCAUUGCGUAAUUGUGGGGCAGUGCCGCCCACUGUUAUAUAUAUGGGCAGGUGACUGCGCCUCUGACGUGCGUCAUACCUUUCUCCCGGAUGCUGUGAUCAGUCAGAUCGUGGUUUGGCGUGGCUGUGACAGAUCGGUGAUCCAUACUCCCUAAUUGUGCGAGUCUGCUGCAUUGUCUGUGCGGAGCUGACGUGUGCUCCCUCCACUGUGGGUGAACACAUCAGUGUCGGAAGUUGCUGUGGACGGCAAGUGAGCCGUGCGCUCCCUCUCUCUCUCGCUCUCCCUCUCCUCACGAGUUGGAAGCGCUGCGCUGCUAUCCUCUGGUAAUUGGGCCAGCGUGUGAAUCGCGGUGCCGCGGCCCUCUAGAAACCUCAGCCUCCAAGCCGUGGCCGACUGCUGUUUUGUCCCCCGCUCUUCUUUUAUUGUUUUAGUUCAUGUUGCCGCUACUACUACUACUACUACUACUACAACUAUCACCACUACUUCGUGACGAGUACAAUUUUGUGAUGGUUUAAAUUAUAGUUAUGAAUAUUGUUUCAGUUUGUUAGUUGCUUUAUUUUUGUUUGGUUGUUUGUGUGUUUG